rnacentral:rRNA from 1 species
CGCGUAGGUGGUUGCGUAAGUAACGUGUGAAAUCCCUCGGCUUACCCGGGGAAUUGCAUGUUAUACUGCGUGGCUUGAGGAUCACAGGGGAAAGCGGAACUCCAGGUGUAGCGGUGAAAUGCGCAGAUAUCUGGGGGAAGGCCGGCGGCGAAGGCGGCUUUCUGGGUGAUUCCUGACACUGAGGCGCGAAAGCGUGGGGAGCGAACA